AUGAAGAUUGUGGGGGCUG
rnacentral:piRNA from 1 species